UACGGGGGGGGCAAGCGUUGUUCGGAAUUACUGGGCGUAAAGGGCUCGUAGGUGGCCAACUAAGUCAGACGUGAAAUCCCUCGGCUUAACCGGGGAACUGCGUCUGAUACUGGAUGGCUUGAGUUUGGGAGAGGGAUGCGGAAUUCCAGGUGUAGCGGUGAAAUGCGCAGAUAUCAGGAGGAACACCGGUGGCGAAGGCGGGUCUCUGGGCCGAUACUGACGCUGAGGAGCGAAAGCGUGGGGAGCAAACAGG
rnacentral:rRNA from 1 species